UACGAAGGGGGCUAGCGUUGUUCGGAAUUACUGGGCGUAAAGCGCACGUAGGCGGAUCGAUCAGUCAGGGGUGAAAUCCCAGGGCUCAACCCUGGAACUGCCUUUGAUACUGUCGAUCUGGAGCAUGGAAGAGGUGAGUGGAAUUCCGAGUGUAGAGGUGAAAUUCGUAGAUAUUCGGAGGAACACCAGUGGCGAAGGCGGCUCACUGGUCCAUUACUGACGCUGAGGUGCGAAAGCGUGGGGAGCAAACAGG
rnacentral:rRNA from 1 species